UGGGGAAUAUUGGGCAAUGGGCGCAAGCCUGACCCAGCAACGCCGCGUGAAGGAAGAAGGCUUUCGGGUUGUAAACUUCUUUUAUUCAGGGACGAAGCAAGUGACGGUACCUGAUGAAUAAGCCACGGCUAACUACGUGCC
rnacentral:rRNA from 1 species